rnacentral:lncRNA from 1 species
UAUGUGGGAAAUACUAAUUUUACAAACGAGACAUGAAGCGACUUGGCCAACUUAUACAGGUAGGCUAUCUGACAACCAACCCUGUAUUUUCAAUCAUCCAACUAUUACUGAGCAUUGAAUUUUAUUCUUUUGUUUUUAUUCUGGGGAGAGAUGCCUAUUAGAAAUAUUGUGUUAAUGAAUAUCAAUAUAUAUAAACCAUUAACUGCAUUUCGCAUUAUUUCCAUAGAACUCAUUCCCCAAAGCAGAAUUAAUGAAUCUAGAGAUUCAUUGAGGUUCCUCAGACACUUCAAAGAGUCAAUGUUCAGAAAAGUUGUAACAACAUAUGCUAACAGCCUGUGAGGGUGCCAGCCUCCAAAUAUUCAGUACCAAGUACUAUGCUUUAUCCAGUCUAUUUUUGUUCUUUUGUCACGGGAAGAGGGAUCCUGGGGGCUGACUCUUUGUAGGUAGCUGUGACCAAGAGACUCCUAUGAGAAUGACUUCUGGGAAAGAUGUUCCCUGGAUAAGAAAGGACAGGCUAGUCUUUUGCCCUUUGCCCUUCCACUUCUUCUAGCAAUCUUGGGACCAAGCACAGGAAGCUGCAGGCUGGGAAAGGCAGGUGCAAAGAAAGGUGGAUCCUUGUGGGUACCUCGUGGGAAAAAUACCCCAGAUUAAUGACGCCUCCGUUGCUGGGUUUCUUGAUACUCAGGUAGAUGCAAUCCUAUCCAUUACCAGUGAAGGUAAAAAGGAGCAGCGAGGCUGUUUCUGUAAAUUCUCUUUCCCUGUAUUUUGCCAAUACCUCUUCCCCAGGCAAGGUUUUAGUGGUUCUUUUUCCAAUUGUAUGAAUUUUUAUAUAUUAUUAUAGAUAUUAAGAUACAGAUAUUUGAGAUUGUUAUGUCUUUUAAUUUUAUUUAUGUGACUUGCCUGUUAAGGUGGUGUCUCCAUCUAAAGGUACAAUUUGUCUUCACAAUUAAUAACAGGGACAAAUUUCUAUUUGCCAAUAACCUGUCACUUAAUUGUUUUAUCAUCCAUUGUUUCCAUCUCAGAAUCUGUUAUCUUUGGGAACUGCAAGUCUGUGACUUUCCAAUGAUCUAAUUCCUUCCAUGUUUAUCAGCUGCCAUUCUUCUAUGAAAAGAGCUUUCCCUGUUUUUCUGCUUGCUUCUUUUGGGAGGAAUCACUGUGUCAUGAUUGUCAA